GACGAACGCUGGCGGCGUGCUUAACACAUGCAAGUCGAACGCUGAAGCUUGGUGCUUGCACUGGGUGGAUGAGUGGCGAACGGGUGAGUAAUACGUGAGUAACCUGCCCUUGACUCUGGGAUAAGCCUGGGAAACUGGGUCUAAUACUGGAUACGACAUGUCACCGCAUGGUGGCGUGUGGAAAGGGUUUUACUGGUUUUGGAUGGGCUCACGGCCUAUCGGCUUGUUGGUGGGGUAAUGGCUCACCAAGGCGACGACGGGUAGCCGGCCUGAGAGGGUGACCGGCCACACUGGGACUGAGACACGGCCCAGACUCCUACGGGAGGCAGCAGUGGGGAAUAUUGCACAAUGGGCGAAAGCCUGAUGCAGCGACGCCGCGUGAGGGAUGACGGCCUUCGGGUUGUAAACCUCUUUCAGCA
rnacentral:rRNA from 1 species